GGGCUUGUAAUAUAAUGGUAUUAUACCGCAUUCGCAUUGCGGAAAUGCGAGUUCGAUUCUCGCCAAGUCCAC
rnacentral:tRNA from 1 species